GGAAGUGGGAAGAGAGAACGAGAUGCAAGGAUGAUAGAGACAACAGCCCUACCCUUGUGGCUGUGGAAGCUGAAGGUCUUAAUUAUGGGAAAUAGAGCUUCCUAACCAGGCCACGUCUCCUGGGCAUCUGCCGAGCACGACAUGGCUAGAGAGGGUCACACCAGGAUGACCUGGGGCCUGUGUGGCCAGGCUUUCCUGUUUGCUCUGACAUUCUCCCUUGUCCUGCAUUUCUAAAGACCCCCUGUGAGGCCUCUAGCCACUAAGAUCUCUGGAUAUUAGCCACAGGCUUCUCUUCUUUCCUCCUUAAAUACAAUUCCAGAAUCUUCUUUGUCCCUAUUCCAAAUUCUAUUGCCAAAUCUAGAAUCUGGGAGAACAGCACUCAAUCCAAGGGCAUCUUUGCUUAAACAGAGUGACUUUCCCAUGGCAGUGAGCAGAAAUUUCUGCGUGUCUGUCCAUUCUCUUGUUUUCUCCAUGGAUACAAGGUGUAACUGACUAACUGACCACAGCAGCUCACAGUGCUAACCACUGAGCAACAGCAUUUGAUGAGCUGAGUUGUGUGGCUAGCUUGCUACCACCAGGCCCCAAGUCCUGAGCCCCAAAGGAAAGGGAAAAGG
rnacentral:lncRNA from 1 species